rnacentral:misc_RNA from 1 species
GCGUUUCCGGGUCAUUCAUUCAGCUUCGAAGCCUCUCUGUUUUGAAAAGUGCUACAGAAUGACAACUCAGCCGCACAAUAAGAAGAAAAUCUGUUACUAUUAUGAUGGUGACAUUGGCAAUUACUAUUAUGGCCAAGGUCAUCCAAUGAAGCCACACAGAAUUAGAAUGACCCACAAUCUCAUCCUUAACUAUGGACUCUACAGGAAAAUGGAAAUAUAUAGACCACACAAAGCAACUCAAGAAGAAAUGACAAAAUUUCACAGUGAUGACUACAUUAAGUUUCUACGCAGCAUCCGGCCAGACAAUAUGUCGGAUUACAACAAACAGAUGCAGAGAUUUAAUGUAGGAGAGGAUUGCCCAGUGUUUGAUGGGAUGUAUGAAUUCUGUCAGCUCUCAACAGGGGGAUCUGUGGCUGGAGCAGUGAAGCUGAAUAAACAGGCAGCAGACAUUGCCAUUAACUGGGCGGGCGGACUUCACCAUGCCAAAAAGUCGGAGGCUUCAGGCUUUUGUUAUGUAAAUGACAUUGUGCUGGCCAUUCUGGAACUUCUCAAGUAAGAUUUUCAAAACCAGAAAGUUUGUAUGUUUAUAUAUCCUGAAUAACUAGAUAUAGUUUAAAAUUUAAUUUCAAAAGCUUAAAAAAAAGUAUCUUCUUCCAAAUUCAACUGAUUUGCCAACAUCUUUUAAAAUAUUUGCUGUGGGUGUGUCGGCAACAAUUGCUCACUCACCAUUGCGACUAAAUGUUUGUUUUGUGUUGCCCUGUUCGUAUAUAUUUUUCUUCAAUAAAAAACAAUGACUCCGAUCAGGUACCACCAGAGAGUGUUGUACGUGGACAUUGACAUUCACCAUGGUGACGGUGUAGAGGAAGCCUUCUACACCACUGACCGAGUCAUGACAGUCUCAUUUCACAAGUACGGAGAGUACUUCCCAGGAACUGGUGACCUGAGGGACAUUGGAGCAGGCAAGGGUAAAUAUUACGCUGUCAACUUUCCUCUCCGAGACGGGAUUGAUGAUGAGUCAUACGAAUCAAUUUUCAAACCCGUAAUGACCAAAGUUAUGGAGAUGUACCAACCCAGUGCAAUAGUCCUACAGUGUGGAGCGGACUCUCUGUCGGGGGACAGACUGGGAUGUUUUAACCUCACACUCAAAGGUCACGGGAAGUGUGUGGAGUACAUGAAGAAGUGGAACCUGCCCCUGUUGUUGCUGGGAGGGGGAGGGUACACCAUCAGAAACGUGGCCCGGUGCUGGACCUACGAGACCUCCAUAGCUCUGGGAGUGGAGAUUGCCAACGAGUUGCCAUACAAUGACUACUUUGAGUAUUAUGGACCAGACUUCAAGCUACAUAUCAGCCCCUCAAACAUGGCAAAUCAAAACACUGGGGAAUACAUGGACAAAAUCAAAACUCGUCUCUUUGAGAAUUUGAGGAUGUUGCCACAUGCACCUGGUGUUCAAAUGACAGCUAUCCCUGAGGAUGCUUUAAAUGAUGAGAGUGGAGAAGAGGAAGACAAAGAAAAUCCAGAUGAACGGAUUUCAAUCCGAGCCAGCGACAAGCGUGUGACUGGGGAGGGUGAAUAUUCGGACAGUGAAGAUGAGGGAGAGGGAGGGAGGAAGGACAGGGCCAACUACAAACCCAAGGCCAAGAGGAUGAAGACAGAAUCAGAGGAGAAGAAGGAGGCAGGGGACAAAGUUGCAAAGAAAGAAGAAAAGGAAGUUAAAAAAGAGGCAGAAAAUAAUAAAGAGGAGGCAAAAGCUCCAGAAAAGAGCUCGGAAGAAAAAUCAGAAGCACCUGAGAAAAAAGAAUCCUCGCCAGCCAAGGAAACAGCAGCUGAAAGCAAGGAAUCUAGUGACUCAAACGGGACUCCACAAAAAAUGGAGCAUUAGAAUACCCGAGGUCUCCCGAAAGCUAGCGUUUUAUUGUGACAGAUAAACUAGUCCAGAUGUACUGUGUCUCCUUGUCUUUGAAUGGUGGACAAAGACUUCAUCUUGAUCACGUCCUUAGGACUUUAACAGUUGGUUGAGCAGCUGGAACAUAUUUGUGAAUCUUACCUUCAUCAAGCAUCAUUACACAUACCAUCAUCACAUAAGGUUUUUACUCUUGGUAUAAAACUGUGGAUUUCUAAACAAUAAAUCUCGUCAUCUGAUAAUUUG